AGCUUGCUACCUAACCUAGCGGCGGACGGGUGAGUAAUGCUUAGGAAUCUGCCAUUUAGUGGGGGACAACAUUCCGAAAGGAAUGCUAAUACCGCAUACGUCCUACGGGAGAAAGCAGGGGAUCUUCGGACCUUGCGCUAAAUGAUGAGCCUAAGUCGGAUUAGCUAGUUGGUGGGGUAAAGGCCUACCAAGGCGACGAUCUGUAGCGGGUCUGAGAGGAUGAUCCGCCACACUGGGACUGAGACACGGCCCAGACUCCUACGGGAGGCAGCAGUGGGGAAUAUUGGACAAUGGGCGGAAGCCUGAUCCAGCCAUGCCGCGUGUGUGAAGAAGGCCUUAUGGUUGUAAAGCACUUUAAGCGAGGAGGAGGCUACUUAGAUUAAUACUCUAGGAUAGUGGACGUUACUCGCAGAAUAAGCACCGGCUAACUCUGUGCCAGCAGCCGCGGUAAUACAGAGGGUGCGAGCGUUAAUCGGAUUUACUGGGCGUAAAGCGUGCGUAGGCGGCUUUUUAAGUCGGAUGUGAAAUCCCCGAGCUUAACUUGGGAAUUGCAUUCGAUACUGGGAAGCUAGAGUAUGGGAGAGGAUGGUAGAAUUCCAGGUGUAGCGGUGAAAUGCGUAGAGAUCUGGAGGAAUACCGAUGGCGAAGGCAGCCAUCUGGCCUAAUACUGACGCUGAGGUACGAAAGCAUGGGGAGCAAACAGGAUUAGAUACCCUGGUAGUCCAUGCCGUAAACGAUGUCUACUAGCCGUUGGGGCCUUUGAGGCUUUAGUGGCGCAGCUAACGCGAUAAGUAGACCGCCUGGGGGAGU
rnacentral:rRNA from 1 species